rnacentral:rRNA from 1 species
GUCUACGGCCAUACCACGUUGAAAACACCAGGUCUCCCUGAAGUUAAGCAACAUCAGUACCUGGGAGGGAGACCUCUUGGGAACACUCGGUGUCGUAGACA